rnacentral:lncRNA from 1 species
UAAACUUUUUUAGAAUGGAGGUGAAAUUUAUAGAACAUAAAAAUAACAGUUUUAAAGUGUACAUUCCGUGGCAUUUAGUAAAUUCACAAUGUUGUACAACCAUCACCUCUGUCUAGUUCCAAAACUUUUCAUCAUUCCCAAAGAAGAUUCCAUGCCCAUUAUGCAGUCACUCCCUGUUCACCCCCAUUUUUGGUUGCAAGUACAAAUUUUAGUUCACACAUGAAAUUUUUUACCAAUUUUUAAAUGCAUAUAUAUAUAUAUAUGUAUGUAUGUAUGUAUGUAUGUAUGUAUUUUUGUUCUUUUUUUUUUUUUUGAGACGGUGUUUCUUUCUUGUUGCCCAGGCUGGAGUGUGAGCCACCAUGCCCAGCCAUAAUAUAUUUUUAGUUUGAAAUUUUCUUUAUUAUUAUUUGUUAUAAACUGUAAUUUUAUCAUCUCAUACUACAACAAACAUGUAGGUUUAAGUCUUCCCUGUUUUCAAAAGUCGUAUUAAUGUUAUAA